CUACGGACUUAAUUGGCUUGAGCCUUAGUAUGGAGACCUACUAAGUGAAAACUUUCAAAUUCAGAGAAACCCUGGAAUUAAUAAAAAUGGGCAAUCCUGAGCCAACUCCUUUUUUCAAAAGCAAGAAUAAAAAAAAAGGAUAGGUGCAGAGACUCAAAGGAAGCUGUUCUAACAAAUAUUCAUUCACCAAAUAAUUCACUCCAUAGUCUGAUAGAUCUUUGGGAGGAACUUAAUUAAUAUUAAUCGGACGAGAAUAAAGAUAGAGUCCUGUUCUACAUGUCAAUACUGA
rnacentral:ncRNA from 1 species